CCUACGGGAGGCAGCAGUGGGGAAUAUUGGACAAUGGGGGGAACCCUGAUCCAGCCAUGCCGCGUGUGUGAAGAAGGCCCUCGGGUUGUAAAGCACUUUCAGUGAGGAAGAACGCCUGGUGGUUAAUACCCAUCAGGAAAGACAUCACUCACAGAAGAAGCACCGGCUAACUCCGUGCCAGCAGCCGCGGUAAUACGGAGGGUGCGAGCGUUAAUCGGAAUUACUGGGCGUAAAGCGCGCGUAGGUGGCUUGAUAAGCCGGUUGUGAAAGCCCCGGGCUCAACCUGGGAACGGCAUCCGGAACUGUCAAGCUAGAGUGCAGGAGAGGAAGGUAGAAUUCCCGGUGUAGCGGUGAAAUGCGUAGAGAUCGGGAGGAAUACCAGUGGCGAAGGCGGCCUUCUGGAAUGACACUGACACUGAGGUGCGAAAGCGUGGGUAGCAAACAGGAUUAGAUACCCGAGUAGUC
rnacentral:rRNA from 1 species